GUAGGUGGCAAGCGUUGUCCGGAAUUAUUGGGCGUAAAGCGCGCGCAGGCGGUUCUUUAAGUCUGAUGUGAAAGCCCAGGCUCAACCGUGGAGGGUCAUUGGAAACUGGAGAACUUGAGUACAGAAGAGGAAAGCGGAAUUCCACGUGUAGCGGUGAAAUGCGUAGAGAUGUGGAGGAACACCAGUGGCGAAGGCGGCUUUCUGGUCUGUAACUGACGCUGAGGCGCGAAAGCGUGGGGAGCAAACAGGAUUAGAUACCCUGGUAGUCCACGCCGUAAACGAUGAGUGCUAAGUGUUAGGGGGGUUUCCGCCCCCCUUAGUGCUGCAGCUAACGCAUUAAGCACUCCGCCUGGGAUACGGCCGCAAGGCUG
rnacentral:rRNA from 1 species